rnacentral:rRNA from 2 species
UUAGCGGCGGACGGGUGAGUAACACGUGGAUAACCUACCUAUAAGACUGGGAUAACUUCGGGAAACCGGAGCUAAUACCGGAUAAUAUUUUGAACCGCAUGGUUCAAAAGUGAAAGACGGUCUUGCUGUCACUUAUAGAUGGAUCCGCGCUGCAUUAGCUAGUUGGUAAGGUAACGGCUUACCAAGGCAACGAUGCAUAGCCGACCUGAGAGGGUGAUCGGCCACACUGGAACUGAGACACGGUCCAGACUCCUACGGGAGGCAGCAGUAGGGAAUCUUCCGCAAUGGGCGAAAGCCUGACGGAGCAACGCCGCGUGAGUGAUGAAGGUCUUCGGAUCGUAAAACUCUGUUAUUAGGGAAGAACAUAUGUGUAAGUAACUGUGCACAUCUUGACGGUACCUAAUCAGAAAGCCACGGCUAACUACGUGCCAGCAGCCGCGGUAAUACGUAGGUGGCAAGCGUUAUCCGGAAUUAUUGGGCGUAAAGCGCGCGUAGGCGGUUUUUUAAGUCUGAUGUGAAAGCCCACGGCUCAACCGUGGAGGGUCAUUGGAAACUGGAAAACUUGAGUGCAGAAGAGGAAAGUGGAAUUCCAUGUGUAGCGGUGAAAUGCGCAGAGAUAUGGAGGAACACCAGUGGCGAAGGCGACUUUCUGGUCUGUAACUGACGCUGAUGUGCGAAAGCGUGGGGAUCAAACAGGAUUAGAUACCCUGGUAGUCCACGCCGUAAACGAUGAGUGCUAAGUGUUAGGGGGUUUCCGCCCCUUAGUGCUGCAGCUAACGCAUUAAGCACUCCGCCUGGGGAGUACGACCGCAAGGUUGAAACUCAAAGGAAUUGACGGGGACCCGCACAAGCGGUGGAGCAUGUGGUUUAAUUCGAAGCAACGCGAAGAACCUUACCAAAUCUUGACAUCCUUUGACAACUCUAGAGAUAGAGCCUUCCCCUUCGGGGGACAAAGUGACAGGUGGUGCAUGGUUGUCGUCAGCUCGUGUCGUGAGAUGUUGGGUUAAGUCCCGCAACGAGCGCAACCCUUAAGCUUAGUUGCCAUCAUUAAGUUGGGCACUCUAAGUUGACUGCCGGUGACAAACCGGAGGAAGGUGGGGAUGACGUCAAAUCAUCAUGCCCCUUAUGAUUUGGGCUACACACGUGCUACAAUGGACAAUACAAAGGGCAGCGAAACCGCGAGGUCAAGCAAAUCCCAUAAAGUUGUUCUCAGUUCGGAUUGUAGUCUGCAACUCGACUACAUGAAGCUGGAAUCGCUAGUAAUCGUAGAUCAGCAUGCUACGGUGAAUACGUUCCCGGGUCUUGUACACACCGCCCGUCACACCACGAGAGUUUGUAACACCCGAAGCCGGUGGAGUAACCUUUUAGGAGCUAGCCGUCGAAGGUGGGACAAAUGAUUGGGGUGAAGUCGUAACAAGGUAGCCGUAUCGGAAGGUGCGGCUGGAUCACCU